GUGGGGAAUAUUGGACAAUGGGCGAAAGCCUGAUCCAGCCAUGCCGCGUGUGUGAAGAAGGUCUUCGGAUUGUAAAGCACUUUAAGUUGGGAGGAAGGGCAGUAAGUUAAUACCUUGCUGUUUUGACGUUACCGACAGAAUAAGCACCGGCUAACUUCGUGCCAGCAGCCGCGGUAAUACGAAGGGUGCAAGCGUUAAUCGGAAUUACUGGGCGUAAAGCGCGCGUAGGUGGUUUUGUAAGUUGGAGGUGAAAUCCCCGGGCUCAACCUGGGAACUGCCUCCAAAACUGCAUGACUAGAGUACGGUAGAGGGUAGUGGAAUUUCCUGUGUAGCGGUGAAAUGCGUAGAUAUAGGAAGGAACGCCAGUGGCGAAGGCGACUACCUGGACUGAUACUGACACUGAGGUGCGAAAGCGUGGGGAGCAAACAGGAUUAGAAACCCCAGUAGUCC
rnacentral:rRNA from 1 species